UUCCUGGAGAAGAGUACCCCUUGCCAAUGGAAGAUGUUCUUGAACUUCUGAAACCACUAUCCAAUGUGUGUUCUUUGUAUCGUCGUGACCAAGAUGUUUGUAAAACUAUUUUAAACCAUGUCCUUCAUGUAGUGAAAAACCUAGGUCAAAGCAAUAUGGACUCUGAGAACACAAGGGAUGCUCAAGGACAGUUUCUUACAGUAAUUGGAGCAUUUUGGCAUCUAACAAAGGAGAGGAAAUAUAUAUUCUCUGUAAGAAUGGCCCUAGUAAAUUGCCUUAAAACUUUGCUUGAGGCUGAUCCUUAUUCAAAAUGGGCCAUUCUUAAUG
rnacentral:lncRNA from 1 species